GUUCGCGAAGUAACCCUUCGUGGRCAUUUGGUCAAUUUGAAACAAUACAGAGAUGAUCAGCAGUUCCCCUGCAUAAGGAUGAACCGUUUUUACAAAGAGAUUUAUUUCGUUUUU
rnacentral:snRNA from 1 species